GGAGGAUCAUUAUCGUAGGGCUUCGGCCCUGUCGAGAUAGAACCCUUGCCUUUUUGAGUACCUUUCGUUUCCUCGGCAGGCUCGCCUGCCAAUGGGGACCACAAAAAACACUUUGCAGUACCUGUAACAGUCUGAACAAACAAAACAAAAAUUAAAACUUUCAACAACGGAUCUCUUGGUUCUGGCAUCGAUGAAGAACGCAGCGAAAUGCGAUAAGUAGUGUGAAUUGCAGAAUUCAGUGAAUCAUCGAAUCUUUGAACGCACAUUGCGCCCUUUGGUAUUCCUUAGGGCAUGCCUGUUCGAGCGUCAUUUAAACCUUCAAGCUAAGCUUGGUGUUGGGUGACUGUCCGCUUCACUGCGGACUCGCCUCAAAAUUAUUGGCGGCCGGUACAUUGGCUUCGAGCGCAGCAGAAACGCGAACUCGGGCCCGUCGUAUUGGCUCCCAGAAGCUAUCUUCACAAUUUUGACCUCGGAUCAGGUAGGGAUACCCGCUGAACUUAAGCAUAUCAAUAAGCUGAGGA
rnacentral:rRNA from 1 species